CAGUCCUCUCCUUCCUGCACCUGGGAUGUAUUUCCUGGCACUGUCCUGCACCUCUGUGUGCAGCUUCUCCUGGUUGGGCUGCAGAGAGCUCUUGCCCUGCAGGUACAGGGCCCUGAAGUGCCUUCAUGAAGUCAAUGCAUGUGGCCACAGCAGUGUUCAUACUGAUAUAAUUGCAACAUAAACGGAAUUUGGUUCAUCUAAUUAGGGUCUGGUGGCUAUCCAGCUGAAACGUACUUCCUUGGAGCUGCACAACUCCAGCUCCAGCAGGCCUCUGUCCCCUGCUGCUGUGCUCUGGUCCCAGCUCUCAGGUGGGUCUGGGUCCUGCAGGGCUCACCCACGUCGGCUGUGCAGGGCUCUGCUCCCCUGGCUCGGCCACAAGUACCGAGAUGUUGUCUGCUGGGUGCCUUUCUCCAGGGCAGCCCCGCCAGGAGCGGUCUUCCGGGGUGACGCUGUGAGCUUCCCUGUGCUUGGUGAGGUUUUCUCUUUGUCCUCCCCAGGUUUCUGAAGGGCUUCAGCGCCUGGGAGCCGCCAGGCUGCUUGUGCACCACCGGCACCAAACCCUGCUUGGAGGCUGUGCCUGUGCCACCGCAGCACCCACGGCACUCGGGGGUGCAGAGCGGUGACAAAAUGCACCGAGACAGCCGUGGGGCCUGGCCACCGGAGUGAGCGCAGAGGGCAGGACCGGGACCCUCCUUCCCCAUCAAACCGCAGCAGCUUCCCAGGUCACGGGGCGAAGGGCUGUCAGCGGGUGGAACGCGACCCUGCGCCCAGCGGGGCCCGCGGACGUGCCAUCCACCAGGCUUCGCAACCCCCGGUGACGAUGAUCUGCUGUGGAAAGGAAAGUUGUGUGAGCCCCAGAAAAAAUGUCUUUAGCCUUAUAAACUGACACAGUUGUUUAUAAUAUUCCUAAGUGCCAUUGCGUGAUGAUAGCAAUUCUCCGACAGGGAAAAUUUACUUUUUUCCUUCUUUUUUUAAAUAAAGUUAGAAAGCUGUAAGUCCCA
rnacentral:lncRNA from 1 species